rnacentral:rRNA from 1 species
GAUUUCCGAAUGGGGAAACCCAGUGUGAUUCGUCACACUAUCAUUAACUGAAUCCAUAGGUUAAUGAGGCGAACCGGGGGAACUGAAACAUCUAAGUACCCCGAGGAAAAGAAAUCAACCGAGAUUCCCCCAGUAGCGGCGAGCGAACGGGGAGGAGCCCAGAGCCUGAAUCAGCAUGUGUGUUAGUGGAAGCGUCUGGAAAGGUGCGCGAUACAGGGUGACAGCCCCGUACACAAAAGCGCAUGUGCUGUGAGCUCGAUGAGUAGGGCGGGACACGUGGUAUCCUGUCUGAAUAUGGGGGGACCAUCCUCCAAGGCUAAAUACUCCUGACUGACCGAUAGUGAACCAGUACCGUGAGGGAAAGGCGAAAAGAACCCCGGCGAGGGGAGUGAAAAAGAACCUGAAACCGUGUACGUACAAGCAGUGGGAGCACCCUUCGGGGUGUGACUGCGUACCUUUUGUAUAAUGGGUCAGCGACUUAUAUUCUGUAGCAAGGUUAACCGUAUAGGGGAGCCGGAGGGAAACCGAGUCUUAACCGGGCGUUAAGUUGCAGGGUAUAGACCCGAAACCCGGUGAUCUAGCCAUGGGCAGGUUGAAGGUUGGGUAACACUAACUGGAGGACCGAACCGACUAAUGUUGAAAAAUUAGCGGAUGACCUGUGGCUGGGGGUGAAAGGCCAAUCAAACCGGGAGAUAGCUGGUUCUCCCCGAAAGCUAUUUAGGUAGCGCCUCGUGAAUUCAUCUCCGGGGGUAGAGCACUGUUUCGGCUAGGGGGCCAUCCCGGCUUACCAACCCGAUGCAAACUGCGAAUACCGGAGAAUGUUAUCACGGGAGACACACGGCGGGUGCUAACGUCCGUCGUGAAGAGGGAAACAACCCAGACCGCCAGCUAAGGUCCCAAAGUCAUGGUUAAGUGGGAAACGAUGUGGGAAGGCCCAGACAGCCAGGAUGUUGGCUUAGAAGCAGCCAUCAUUUAAAGAAAGCGUAAUAGCUCACUGGUCGAGUCGGCCUGCGCGGAAGAUGUAACGGGGCUAAACCAUGCACCGAAGCUGCGGCAGCGACGCUGAUGCGUUGUUGGGUAGGGGAGCGUUCUGUAAGCCUGCGAAGGUGACCUGUGAGGGUUGCUGGAGGUAUCAGAAGUGCGAAUGCUGACAUAAGUAACGAUAAAGCGGGUGAAAAGCCCGCUCGCCGGAAGACCAAGGGUUCCUGUCCAACGUUAAUCGGGGCAGGGUGAGUCGACCCCUAAGGCGAGGCCGAAAGGCGUAGUCGAUGGGAAACGGGUUAAUAUUCCCGUACUUGGUGUUACUGCGAAGGGGGGACGGAGAAGGCUAUGUUGGCCGGGCGACGGUUGUCCCGGUUUAAGCGUGUAGGUGUGUGUUCCAGGUAAAUCCGGUUCACUUUAACACUGAGGCGUGAUGACGAGGCACUACGGUGCUGAAGCAACAAAUGCCCUGCUUCCAGGAAAAGCCUCUAAGCAUCAGGUAACAUCAAAUCGUACCCCAAACCGACACAGGUGGUCAGGUAGAGAAUACCAAGGCGCUUGAGAGAACUCGGGUGAAGGAACUAGGCAAAAUGGUGCCGUAACUUCGGGAGAAGGCACGCUGACACGUAGGUGAAGUGAUUUACUCACGGAGCUGAAGUCAGUCGAAGAUACCAGCUGGCUGCAACUGUUUAUUAAAAACACAGCACUGUGCAAACACGAAAGUGGACGUAUACGGUGUGACGCCUGCCCGGUGCCGGAAGGUUAAUUGAUGGGGUCAGCGCAAGCGAAGCUCCUGAUCGAAGCCCCGGUAAACGGCGGCCGUAACUAUAACGGUCCUAAGGUAGCGAAAUUCCUUGUCGGGUAAGUUCCGACCUGCACGAAUGGCGUAAUGAUGGCCAGGCUGUCUCCACCCGAGACUCAGUGAAAUUGAACUCGCUGUGAAGAUGCAGUGUACCCGCGGCAAGACGGAAAGACCCCGUGAACCUUUACUAUAGCUUGACACUGAACAUUGAGCCUUGAUGUGUAGGAUAGGUGGGAGGCUUUGAAGUGUGGACGCCAGUCUGCAUGGAGCCGACCUUGAAAUACCACCCUUUAAUGUUUGAUGUUCUAACGUGGACCCGUAAUCCGGGUUGCGGACAGUGUCUGGUGGGUAGUUUGACUGGGGCGGUCUCCUCCUAAAGAGUAACGGAGGAGCACGAAGGUUGGCUAAUCCUGGUCGGACAUCAGGAGGUUAGUGCAAUGGCAUAAGCCAGCUUGACUGCGAGCGUGACGGCGCGAGCAGGUGCGAAAGCAGGUCAUAGUGAUCCGGUGGUUCUGAAUGGAAGGGCCAUCGCUCAACGGAUAAAAGGUACUCCGGGGAUAACAGGCUGAUACCGCCCAAGAGUUCAUAUCGACGGCGGUGUUUGGCACCUCGAUGUCGGCUCAUCACAUCCUGGGGCUGAAGUAGGUCCCAAGGGUAUGGCUGUUCGCCAUUUAAAGUGGUACGCGAGCUGGGUUUAGAACGUCGUGAGACAGUUCGGUCCCUAUCUGCCGUGGGCGCUGGAGAACUGAGGGGGGCUGCUCCUAGUACGAGAGGACCGGAGUGGACGCAUCACUGGUGUUCGGGUUGUCAUGCCAAUGGCACUGCCCGGUAGCUAAAUGCGGAAGAGAUAAGUGCUGAAAGCAUCUAAGCACGAAACUUGCCCCGAGAUGAGUUCUCCCUGAGACUUAGAGUCUCCUGAAGGAACGUUGAAGACGACGACGUUGAUAGGCCGGGUGUGUAAGCGCAGCGAUGCGUUGAGCUAACCGGUACUAAUGAACCGUGAGGCUUAACCUU